ACCCCGGCAGGGAAGUGCCGCCCGAGGACAGCCCUGCGGUGUCACAGCGCUUUUUCCACGGCUUCUUGUGGGGCAGGUUCUCUCCGCGGGGUGAGGAGCACCAGUUCGCCGUGCUGUGCUCCCUGUUUGUCGUUUUCCUGAUAGCAAACGAGUGCGCCGCAUCUCGUGCCAAGUGUGGCAGUGGUUUCUGCCACAGGGCCUCCGUGACAGCUGGACCAAGGCUUCAACCACCCAUCCACUUGUGGCCAUGGCACCUUGCCGGCUGGCUUGGACGCCAGGCCUGCUCCUUAGGCUCUGACACUCAGCAGCACUUCCCCCCAUUCUGCUGUCCCCUCUGCCUUCCUGCCACCUCGUUACCUUCCAGCUAACCACCUCGUUACCUUCCAGCUAACCACCUCGUCAGUGGGCUGCAAUAGCACAGAGGUUUGAGCAGUGUAACACAACCAAACAGAGCCACGCUGUGCCAGGGGCUCAGCCGUCUUGCUGCUGGGAUCAGGCUCGCUCACACGAGGCAUCUCAGCUUUAUUUUCAAAACAUUCCUCAAGAAGCUGUCUUGUCUUCUCACCCUCAUAAAUGACAGCAGUCUCUGGAGUCAGAGGAGUGAGAAAAAAGAACUGCAGAAUCCCUCUGACAAGACUUGCUCCUUUGCCCAUGCGGCAGCCAUGCACACUUUGUGAAAGUGAGUGUGAGUUUCCAGACCAAAAUGAGGAAUUUCUAUUUUGCAAUAGUAUCAACAACAUGAGGGCACUUUACUCCAAGCUGAACAUCACAAGGGAACUGCUUGAAGUAAAAAACAAUUUCAAUUUAUGAUGAAAAAGAUACCCAUCUCCAGCAUGGAAAGCAAAUGCUCAUUUCCAGUAUUCUAAGCUGCUCCUCAUGUCCUGCUAAAUGGCUGUUGUGACAUUACUGUUAUUCUGCUAGCAUGAUGGUUUCCAAAGAUAGUAUUUCUUCGAAUGACAAUGAUGAAGUUUCACUGCUGCUGUACAAAUCGUUAAUUGUUUUUCUGUCAUGCCUCGAGGCCUUGGUGAGGACUCCUUCCAUUGCAUUCCAUUCCUAUGGAGAAUUCAGAAGAGACAUUCCCACUGCCUCAGGUGCUGCAUUCUCGUGAAGGAUCGGGGAGGAUUCCAGGGAGAUACAGACCUGAAUAAGCAACUCUUUAAGAGACGAAUUUAAUUUUAAAAAAAUGAAGAUGCAAAAAGAAGAUCACUGCUGAGGAGUGCAAUCCACAGCUCAUUUUCUGUGCGGAAGAAUACAAGUGAUGUACAAAGAGGAAUCAUAACAGGGAUGGAUGAAAGAGAAAAGAUUGCUGGACAAGUAAACCAUAAAAGAUUUUUUUUAAUGGAGUAUGCUUACUUUUAUGUAAAUCUGCAGCAGAUCCACUUGCCCCCGUUUCACUGACAAUUAAGUUUCUGAGACAUACAAAGUUGCAAACAAAUAUGGCCUGAAAAUGGCAACAGAGAAAUUGGUUGGGGUAUAUUUACUCUUAGAAGAAGUAGUGUAGAGCCAGGAGUGCCAUGAGAAAAGCUCAGUGAAGUGUAUUUCUUGAAAAUACAAGGGAAAGCAGUUUCAACACCUCAUGUAAGUGUGUUUCUCUAAAGUCCAAAAGAGAGCUGCUUCCAAAUUCCGAAGCUACAGCUUGCCUUCACUGAAAAGCUUGACAUCAAGAGUCACAGCUACAUGGCAGUAAGCUGUGCCAAGGGGAGUUUGGAGCUUUCUAAGAGGACACCUGUACCACCCCAGCCUGCUCCAGCACUCAGAAUGGCCCUAACACCUGUGGGGAAAUCCAGCUGUGCUCAGCGUUCAACGCAAGCCCUCCUAGGCUAAUCCUCUUUGAUCCUCCAGGACAGUGAAGAGACCAUGAGUUGUGAUCAAAUUUGCCUCAGGGCUGAUUUUAGACCCCACAAGAUGUCCAAAAUUGGACACAAUCCACAGAGCCUUUAAGCCCCUUUUCAAAGUGUUCCAGAAAUAUGAACUUUGUGCUCAACAAUAUCUGAUUGGUAUAAGCCACUCUUUAAUUUUCUCAUCUUCUGUCACAUGAGGGCAAGUCAUACUUCCUCUGCCUCUUCCUUCCUGAAGUUCCUGUGGACACAAGCGGAAUGGGGAAGCACUGGUGCUUGGAGCUGGGAGCCCUUCUCCUCGGGCAAUGUCCAACUUUUGCCUUCCAAGCUGCCACUGAGGGUUGAACUUUUAAACUGCUGACUUUGUACAGAGAAAGAAGGAAAAAAAGAAGAGAAAAGAAAGCAAGAAACAAUCUGGAGCUAUGCCCUUUUCUUUGUCUUCUCUCCUUGACAUUACAAUUAAGUGUUUGUUUAAAGGGAAAGCAAAAUAAAUGUUGCAAUAUGAACAAUAUGAA